GACGUAGGGGGCGAGCGUUAUUCGGAAUUAUUGGGCGUAAAGCGCUCGUAGGCGGGACAGGAAGUCCGUGAAGAAAGACCUGGGCUCAACUCAGGGAACGGCACGGAUACUCUUGUUCUUGAGGCAAUCAGAGGGUGAUGGAAUUCCCGGUGUAGCAGUGAAAUGCGUAGAGAUCGGGAGGAACACCAGUGGCGAAGGCGGCUACCUGGACCAGCACUGACACUGAAGCACGAAAGCGUGGGGAACAAACAGG
rnacentral:rRNA from 1 species